rnacentral:rRNA from 1 species
GUGCCAGCAGCCGCGGUAAUACGUAGGGGGCGAGCGUUGUCCGAAGUUACUGGGCGUAAAGCGCGCGUAGGCGGUCUAUUAAGUCUGAGGUGAAAGGUUCAACGCUCAACGUGAACAGUGCCUUGGAUACUGGUAGACUUGAGUGUGGCAGAGGAGUAUGGAAUUCCUGGUGUAGCGGUGAAAUGCGUAGAUAUCAGGAGGAAUACCGAUGGCGAAGGCAGUACUCUGGGCUAACACUGACGCUGAGGUGCGAAAGCGUGGGGAGCAAACGGGAUUAGAUACCCCCGUAGUCC